rnacentral:sRNA from 1 species
ACAGGUAUGGAGAUAUGGUUCCUUCUACGGUUAUUGGGAAAGUCGUUGGCAGUAUUUGUUCCCUGUGUGGAGUUCUGGUCAUUGCACUUCCAGUGCCGGUGAUUGUGUCCAAU